AUCCUUGAAAAUUCUGGUGAUUAGUCCAAAUGGUUUCGCUCUCCACCUCCACGAGCCACGCUCAGCCACUUCCGUCGGCGUACAACCGCCGUCCGGCGGAGAGGAAAGUUACAGUGCGAUGCGUAUCCUUUUCCCCGCGCGAGCCUAAACAUACGAGUAACGACUCCUCCCUGGCGGUUAGAGACACGAGGCCGAGAAAAUGGGUGAAGAGCACGGAGGAGAGAUACUCGAAGGAGAUUCAAGAUGAAAUGAACUCCAAAAUCGCGUCUAGGAAAGCGAUAUCGAUAAUACUCCGAAGAGAAGCUACAAAGGCGAUAAUCGAGAAGAAGAAAGGACCAACCAACUCGAAGAAGCUUCUCCCAAGGACGGUGCUCGAGGCUCUCCACGAGCGAAUCACAGCUCUCCGAUGGGAAUCUGCUCUUCAGGUGUUUGAGCUACUUCGAGAACAGCUAUGGUACAAACCUAACGUCGGCAUCUACGUCAAGCUCAUCGUCAUGCUUGGCAAAUGCAAGCAGCCUGAAAAGGCUCAUCGGCUCUUUCAAGAAAUGAUCGGUGAAGGCUGUGUGGUGAAUCAUGAAGUGUAUACUGCGCUUCUAUCUGCUUAUAGCAGGAGUGGACGAUUUGACGAUGCGUUUACUCUUCUGGAACUUAUGAAAAGCAGUCAUAACUGUCAUCCCGAUGUGCAUACUUACUCCAUCCUCAUCAAGUCGUUUCUUCAGGUUUUUGCGUUUGAUGAGGUUCAGGCUCUGCUCGCUGACAUGAGAAGACUGGGUAUUAGGCCUAAUACAAUCACGUAUAAUACCCUCAUCGAUGCGUAUGGGAAAGCAAAAAUGUUUGUGGAGAUGGAAUCAACACUUAUCCAAAUGCUUGGAGAGGAUGACUGCAAGCCUGAUUCUUGGACCAUGAACUCAACACUUAGAGCCUUUGGUGGGAACGGGCAGAUAGAAAUGAUGGAGAAUUGUUACGACAAGUUUCAGAGCUCUGGGAUCGAACCCAACAUCAGAACGUUCAAUAUCCUCCUUGAUUCGUAUGGGAAAACAGGAAACUACAAGAAGAUGAGCGCCGUGAUGGAGUUCAUGCAGAAGUACCACUACUCAUGGACCAUAGUCACAUACAAUGUGGUCAUUGACGCGUUCGGGAGGGCAGGAGACUUGAAACAAAUGGAAUAUUUGUUUAGGCUGAUGCAGUCGGAGAGGAUAAAACCAAGCUGUGUUACGCUGUGUUCUCUUGUUCGUGCGUAUGGAAGAGCUGGUAAAGCGGAUAAAAUUGGAGGAGUCUUGCGUUUCAUUGAGAACUCAGACGUAAGGUUGGACCUUGUGUUCUUUAACUGUCUGGUAGAUGCCUACGGGAGGAUGGAGAAGUUUGCAGAGAUGAAAGGUGUUCUCGAAUUAAUGGAGAAGAAGGGAGUUAAACCUGAUAAGAUUACAUACAGGACAAUGGUUAAGGCUUACAGAAUCAGUGGCAUGACUAGCCAUGUAAAGGAACUUGAUGGUGUGGUCGAGUCCGUUGGUGAAGCCCAAGUUGUGUUGAAAAAGCCGGACUUUUAGCCGAGGAAUAGAGCUUAAUUUUCUGCAGCUAGAUAUGAGAGUUGAAGGCUGUACGCUUCUUUCAGCUGAGUCAAAACCUCUGCAAUAGAUGGUCUGCUUGAUGCAUCUCUCCCCACACAUCUUAUAGCAACAGAAGCAGCUUUUUUCAUGCUCUCUGGAUCAAAUGUUCCCUUCAAGACAUCAUCCACAAUCUCAAAUGCUCCUGCUUGUAGUCCAGCCCUUUCAUGAACAAGACUAAACGUUACUAUCUGCCAGAACCAAAUGUGUUUUUAGUACCAAUGACAGAUGUUGAAGAUGUACCUUUUGCAGCAUCAACUGCAACCUUUAGUCUUGAAACCCAGUUCAAUGAAAGUCUUUUACGACUUGGACCUGCAGAAGCAAUUAGCUUUGAGAGGAAGAUGUCUUUGAAAAAGGAUGAUGAGCAUUAGCUAGAUACUUGGGGAGUUGUAUACCGUAAAGGUGAUCAGCUAAUGAUCCACCAGGCAGAUACUCAUAAACUAGUAUUUGCCGUUUUGGUUCGUAGCAGAAGCCCUCGAAGGAAACUAGAUUUUGGUGGCGUAUCUGUGACAAAAGAUGCACCUACAAGUAGACAGUAUAAAGGGAGACAUUAGACCGCAGCACUCGGAUCACUAAAGAUGAAUGCGUUCUUGGCCGUGGGUUCGAAUGCAUGAUAGGAAAGGUUUGAGCGCUUAACCUCGUUGAUGAAAGAAUCAGCUCCAAGUUGAGUUUUAUCAAACCGCACUUUGACCGCAACUUGUUUUCCAUCAGGUAGUUUCCCAUGGUAUACAGAUCCAAAACUUCCACGGCCAAUCACUUCCUUGAAGUUCCUUGUAGCUGUCUUGAUCUCUUUAUGAGAAAAGAUUCUUGAAGUGUUCCAGUUCUGCAUCUUCAGUUGUUCUCCUGUUCCUGAUUUUUGAUAACUAUUAAGAAUCAUAAAGCCACAAACUAUGUGGAGCAAAAAAAGAAAGCAUUUGUUCCCCCCAUACUGGUUAUAUCUCUCUCUUUGUUUCUCUGUCUCCUCGUGAAGAUCGACAUGAAAACAAAGAUGAGGAGAGUGGCAAACAAGGCGCCACCAGAAACUCCUAGCAAGAUCGCUAUACGGUUUUGCUUCUUGUGUUUCUUAUUGGUAGGGAUAGUGACUUGUGGUAUGUCGAUUGUUGAAGACACAUUGUUGCACGAUGACGAAGUGAACGAAAGGCAUGGGUUCCCCGUUGUCCUGCAUAGAAAGCAUAUCAGUAACGCUAGAACACAACACUAGAGUACUGUAGCAAAUGGCGGUGAGACAGAAACAAUAUACCUUACUUCCAGACCCGUUCUGUUAAGUGACUGUGGCAAGGGGCCUACUAAGUUAUUGUUUUCCAGAUUCCUGAGCAGAAGUCAUAUAAAGAUCCUUCUUUGUAUGAGGUCCCUGCAAGGAAUAGAGACUGGCUUUAGAAUUACAGAAAACAAUUCCAGAAAAUCUCAGUAUAAGAUAACUUACAGAACUUCAAGGUUAAUCAGAUUUUCCAGCUCGGAUCCGAAAGAUUUUAUCUUAUUGAAGCUCAAGUUCCUGGAUAUAUACCAUCAGAAGCUUUUUUAAUACUACAAGAAACCUAAAACAUAUAAUUCUUCAAUGUUAUAUGGAUGAGUAUUACAGCUGCUGGAGAUGCUGAAGGCUUCCUACAUUCUGUAUCGCUCCAGUAAGUGAUGUAUUAUGCAAAUCCCUGGAGGAGAACACUCAGUGAUAACACACAUGCAUACAUGAGACGCUAGAAAUGCUGAAAACUUACAGUGUCUUGAGGUCAAGCAAGUCUCCAAAAGUUGGACUAAUGGAUCUCAGGUUGAUUUGUGAAAGAAACCUGGACAACAGCAAGAAGAAAAAUCUGAGCUGAGGUCCAGAAAUGUCAAAAGCAAGGAUUGUCUUACAAUGAUGUAACACGGCUUCCUUCACACUCAAUGUGGUUCCAAGGAAGAGGAGUGCAUGGGUCGUCUUGCCAUCCAAGGUCUUGCCCGGUAAAUUGUUCUAUGACUUUAAGCGCCGAAACUGCAAAAGAUAACUUAGAAGGUGAAUUUUUUGGCUGCUCUAUCUAGGUAGCAAUCAAACAGAGGAUACCUGUGGUAGAAGAAGCUUCUGGAGGGAUUUGGAGGAUUUGAAACACCUCAAGAGCGUUCACCUGAGGAUUAAACUUGAAUUUUUCGAAGGUGAUGUUUAACUCACUGAUUCUCUUUUGCGUAAAGUACAAAGCACUGGCUUCUGAGCUGGUCACGGUAUACUCAGACUGUUUGACUUCGUUAUUGAUCGUCACACUAAAAGAAGGAGAGAGUGAGAGUAUCCCAGCGAAGUAGAGGAUAAUGUAGUAGCCCCCUAGUGUAUCUAGAGAAAGUGUAUACGAAAGUAUCUCUUUGCGAGCAAGAAUCCGUGCAGUCUGUAGAACGGUAUCUGGCGGAGUCUCAGUGAUGUUGAAGGAAGACAAUCUUGCGAGUCUAUUGAAGUUCCAAGAGGUGUGGAAAGGUGCAAAACUUUGGUCUGGAUCCCAUAUUCGAUCAAACGGAUCUGAAGGGUACCUGCCAUUCAAUAUAAUUCACCUAGUGAGUUCAACACCCACAAGAAAGAUCAUAUUUAAAGAGCCUGAGAGAGAACUCAUACCUGAUAGUCCCAUUUGUGUAGCCGCUAUUGAUCCGGUAACUUCUCCUGAGGAUAGCAUUUGGCGAAUCCUCUAAGCUGUUUCUGUAAGCACCUAAAGGAAGUGGCCGUACUUCUAGAGAGGAGAUAACCGGAAUGCCUCUUCCUUUAACCGCAAGCAAGCAAAGCGAAAGAGAAUCCUUGUUGACCGGCCAAACCAACUCUUCAAUCCAAGGAUCUUUGGUUCUGAGAUCAACAGUACUAGUGACACUCCUCCCCAAAGAGACACGAAAUGCUGGAGGCUGAUUCUGGCUAUCAUAGUUUCUAUAAACGAAUGUGGCUCGAAUCAGAACCGAGGACAGGUCCUUCCUCACAGGUAGCUUAUAACACUGGCGACUUUGAGAGUCUGGGAAGAAUCUGAUGGGAACAGUAGAAGUUGAAGUUCCCUCGAUGUAAGUAACGGCAGUAGUGUUACCUGUUUCGAUAUAAUCGUUGUCUGAGACCCAGGAGAUGUUAUAAGCAGCGGUGUAACUUGAGCCGCCACAAGACAAACUCAAGAAACCUGUUCCAUUACAAAGAUUGAAUAAAACAGUUGAAGGUAAAAGAACAAAAGUAAUGGUACAAGAAUCUUCUCCAUACCAUUUGGAUUGGAGAAACCAAACACCCAGAAGCCACUGAGCAAAACCAAAUCGAUCCAGAAGAUCAUCUUCAAAUUUUCUGAGUGAAAUCUGGUGAACAUAUAUUAAAAUUGUUCUAUUGUGUUAUUAGGAUUAUCCUAAGAACUCAUUCUUUAUAUAUAUAUCAAUGGAUUUGUAUGUGUGAAGGUGUUAUCAAUGAUGAUGAAUCGUAGGUACUUUACUCAGUGGUCAUAAUGCACUCACUAGCAGUAUGUAUCAGCUAAUAAUCUAAAUUAACAAUUUAAGUACA